rnacentral:rRNA from 1 species
GGAAGGUGCAAGCGUUAAUCGGAAUUACUGGGCGUAAAGCGCGCGUAGGCGGUUAGAUAAGUCGGGUGUGAAAGCCCCGGGCUCAACCUGGGAACUGCAUUCGAUACUGUUUGACUAGAGUGUGAUAGAGGGAGGCGGAAUUCCGCAUGUAGCGGUGAAAUGCGUAGAGAUGCGGAGGAACACCAAUGGCGAAGGCAGCCUCCUGGAUUAACACUGACGCUGAGGUGCGAAAGCGUGGGGGAGCAAACAGGAUUAGAUACCCUGGUAGUCCACGCUGUAAACGAUGCCCAACUAGCCGUUGGGAGCAAUUUGGCUCUUGGUGGCGCAGCUAACGCGAUAAGUUGACCGCCUGGGGAGUACGGUCGCAAGACUA